CUGUUACUUUUUGAUCAGUGUUUGUUGGCUAGAAAGAUCGUGCCUUUCUUCAAUUUGAUGAUUGUAUUUCCAUACUACUGAUUAUGUUUGAUUGACUACUCCGGUGGUUUCCGUUGGUGGAGUGGGACCAACUCCACUCUCUUCGCCUCCCCCACACCCGACCUUCUCUCUGCCCUAGCUCAACUAGAUCCGAUUUAGGUCUGCUCUUGAUUCAAUUGACCCCAGCCACAUCCUUGAUCCUUCUGACCCCGUUCUUGAUCCAAUGUGAGUCCUAGGGAUAUAGGGACUUGAACCCUCACGAUUUUCAAAGUCGUACAGUAUUGUCGUAGUCGAAACGGCGGAUUCCCCGCCUUAGAUGACGUCCCCAAAGGGUGAGCAGCUGCCAAAAACCUUCUUUGUGCCGAUUUCACGUAUUCGAUUUUGUUUUGCAUUGCGUAAUCAACUUUCUCCACUUGCUGGGAUCUACUCUACACUCCUUCCGAGUCAGGUUGGUUAAGUCUGUAAUGAAGAAGGAUACAGGGCAAGAUCUGGAUAGAUGUAUCACGGAGAAGGAAGUAGAAGAAGCCGUUGAUCUCAUGAACAAGUUACCUGAGAGAAAUAAGAAAUUUAUUGAAAAGAAGCUUGACAAAAUCAAAAGAGAAAUGAAACUAUUUGAAACCGAAGCAGUGGUUAGCAAUUACAAGGAAUAUGUAGAGGACGAGGAAGAAGAUUACUUAUGGUGGUUCAAUCAUGUGGACAUUCACUGUCUUUUCUACUAUGACUGAAACUACUAACCCGAUCUUUAAAAGCAAAGAAAAAAUGAACAUGAAUACUCUGUACUGUUCAAAAGUUGUAAACCCUGUGCAUUUGAAGUGCCUGCUAGGGGUGUAAAUGAGCUGAGCAGAGCCCGAAUAUAUUAGGCUCGAGCUCGGCUCGUAUAUUAGUUCCCGAGCUCGGGCUCGAGUCGAAGCUCGCGUGCGCGAGCCUAACUUUUCGAGCUUGGGCUCAGCUAAUUGUAUUUAAUGAAGGCUCGACUUGGCUCGUAUAGGCUUGUCAUGCCAGCAAAACUCGACUCGUAUGAGGCUCAUGAGCUCGAGCUUGUAUAGGCUCGUGAGCUCAAGCUCGUAUAGGCUCGUGAACUUGAGCUCGCAUGGACUUGGAUUGAACUAUCGUAAUAACUUGAGCUGGAACCAUAGCCAUAUCAUGUCAUUGCUUUCAGAGAUCCAGGUGACUACAAAAACCUUUGUUACAUAAUUCAAGUUCACAGGGGGGAUGCUGGGAAAUGGCCAUGCUUCUGUAGUUGCUUGCCCUCCAAAGGUAAAAGUAUUUAUCUUUUCCAUCACAUUUUUGAGAGAAGGAUAGUUGGGUAAUGGAGGAGAGCGAAAAACCAAUAAUUAUGGUAUGGUUUCUUAAUUCAUUAUCAUGGAACACCACUUAUAUGUGAAUGCUUGUGAAGCAAAAUUUCUCUCUGUACAGUGCAUUACAUCUUGGAGUUCAGUAGGGAAAGAAAUUGAGCCACAUGAGUCAGUCAAUGCUGGUGAUUGUCGUGCCUCUAUCUCAAGGCAUCAGUUGAAGAUUUUCUUUUCCGUGCAUAUUGAGAACUAAGAUAUUUGUUUCCGUUUUGGCUCCUUAAUAAUAUGACUAAUGAUUGUCCCUUUCAGGAUGGUUUUUGAGAAACCAAAGCAAAUGGGUUUGGGGUAACUAUUAUUAGUCAGGGGAAACUUCAGCUUCUUGUGGACCAAACACUGGAGGAAGUGGAAGAACAAAUCACGGAAAUUGGAAGCAAUAUAUACCAUGAUGCGGUUGGGAAUUGGUGUAUGCCUUAAAGGCAAUUUGUCAUCAAUUCUGUAUUAUGACAUUUAUUUCAUUAUAAUACGAGACAUUUUGUUA